rnacentral:rRNA from 1 species
AACGAACGCUGGCGGCAGGCUUAACACAUGCAAGUCGAGCGCCCCGCAAGGGGAGCGGCAGACGGGUGAGUAACGCGUGGGAAUCUACCGAGCCCUACGGAAUAACGCAUGGAAACGUGUGCUAAUACCGUAUACGCCCUACGGGGGAAAGAUUUAUCGGGGUUUGAUGAGCCCGCGUUGGAUUAGCUAGUUGGUGGGGUAAAGGCCUACCAAGGCGACAAUCCAUAGCUGGUCUGAGAGGAUGAUCAGCCACAUUGGGACUGAGACACGGCCCAAACUCCUACGGGAGGCAGCAGUGGGGAAUAUUGGACAAUGGGCGCAAGCCUGAUUCAGCCAUGCCGCGUGAGUGAUGAAGGUCUUAGGAUUGUAAAGCUCUUUCACCGGAGAAGAUAAUGACGGUAUCCGGAGAAGAAGCCCCGGCUAACUUCGUGCCAGCCGCCGCCGUAAUAC